UUCUGGAGGCUGAGGAGCCCCAGGUUGAGGGGCUUCAUCUGGUGAGAGCCUUCUUGCUGGUGGAGACUCUGAAGAGUCCCGAAGUGGUGUGGGGAAACAUAUGGUUUGUUUUUUAUCAGUGUGUUGUACAGAGCGAAUGGCCUCGGACCUUCAAUGGCUGUGCACUGCUUUCUCAGGACUUUCCCUCAAAGGGAAGAACUGACCCUUAUCUCUUUCCCUUUUCUCCACCAUUAGAGCUCAGAGAUCCCAAGAGGCAAAGCGGGGAAAGAAUAAGAAGAAUUGGCCAAAUGCAAUGUACCUUGAAGAAGUUUAAGAAUAUUAAUUCACAUCAAGUCAAAAUCGUCACCAUUAUGAAAGUAAUUACAACAACCACUGCUUUUGCUUAUUUUCCAUUUAUGCGAUUCAGCAGUACAAGCAAAAUGAGUUUUAGAAAUCAUUUCACUCUGGAAAGCUUUCAGAUCACAGAUUCCUGCUCAUAAGUGGAUAAAUGAUGCAGUAAAAUUGAACAAACACAGCUCGUCCUACAUUCUGAAGAUGGGGCACAUUUAUCAGAAGAGAAAAACUGCCAGAGAGAAUUCACAUCAGUGCAGACCGAGAGUCUCAGAUGGCUAAGAGAUGUGCCUGACAACUUUUCAGAAAUAAGACUAUUAAAAGAAGGUCAGCUUGGAGUCUUACUGCGAAGAGUUGGCAUGGUGGUUAAAUUUUUCUAAAACAGUCAUAUUAAUGUGUUCAAAAAUCCACUGCUGAGUCUCAGAGAG
rnacentral:lncRNA from 1 species